CCUACGGGUGGCAGCAGUGGGGAAUAUUGGGCAAUGGGCGCAAGCCUGACCCAGCAACGCCGCGUGAAGGAAGAAGGCUCUCGGGUUGUAAACUUCUUUUGACAGGGAAGAGAAGAAGACGGUACCUGUCGAAUAAGCCACGGCUAACUACGUGCCAGCAGCCGCGGUAAUACGUAGGUGGCAAGCGUUGUCCGGAUUUACUGGGUGGAAAGGGCGUGUAGCCGGGUUGACAAGUCAGCUGUGAAAUCCUGCGGCUUAACCGUAGAACUGCAUUUGAAACUGUUGAUCUUGAGUACUGGAGAGGCAGGCGGAAUUCCUAGUGUAGCGGUGAAAUGCGUAGAUAUUAGGAGGAACACCGGUUGCGAAGGCAGUCUGCUGGACUGCAACUGACGGUGAGGCGCGAAAGCGUGGGGAGCAAACAGGAUUAGAUACCCUGGUAGUC
rnacentral:rRNA from 1 species